rnacentral:rRNA from 1 species
CAGCAGCCGCGGUAAUACGUAGGUGGCAAGCGCUGUCCAGAAUUAUUGGGCGUAAAGGGCUCGCAGGCGGUUUCUUAAGUCUGAUGUGAAAGCCCCCGGCUCAACCGGGGAGGGUCAUUGGAAACUGGGAAACUUGAGUGCAGAAGAGGAGAGUGGAAUUCCACGUGUAGCGGUGAAAUGCGUAGAGAUGUGGAGGAACACCAGUGGCGAAGGUGACUCUCUGGUCUGUAACUGACGCUGAGGAGCGAAAGCGUGGGGAGCGAACAGGAUUAGAUACCCCGGUAGUCCCUGUCUCUUAUAC